rnacentral:rRNA from 1 species
AGUGAACGCUGGCGGUAGGCCUAACACAUGCAAGUCGAACGGCAGCACAGUAAGAGCUUGCUCUUACGGGUGGCGAGUGGCGGACGGGUGAGGAAUACAUCGGAAUCUACUUUUUCGUGGGGGAUAACGUAGGGAAACUUACGCUAAUAACGCAUACGACCUACGGGUGAAAGCAGGGGAUCUUCGGACCUUGCGCGAUUGAAUGAGCCGAUGUCGGAUUAGCUAGUUGGCGGGGUAAAGGCCCACCAAGGCGACGAUCCGUAGCUGGUCUGAGAGGAUGAUCAGCCACACUGUAACUGAGACACGGUCCAGACUCCUACGGGAGGCAGCAGUGGGGAAUAUUGGACAAUGGGCGCAAGCCUGAUCCAGCCAUACCGCGUGGGUGAAGAAGGCCUUCGGGUUGUAAAGCCCUUUUGUUGGGAAAGAAAAGCAGCAGGUUAAUACCCCGCUGUUCUGACGGUACCCAAAGAAUAAGCACCGGCUAACUUCGUG